rnacentral:rRNA from 1 species
GAUGAACGCUGGCGGCGUGCCUAAUACAUGCAAGUCGAGCGAACAGACGAGGAGCUUGCUCCUCUGACGUUAGCGGCGGACGGGUGAGUAACACGUGGAUAACCUACCUAUAAGACUGGGAUAACUUCGGGAAACCGGAGCUAAUACCGGAUAAUAUAUUGAACCGCAUGGUUCAAUAGUGAAAGACGGUUUUGCUGUCACUUAUAGAUGGAUCCGCGCCGCAUUAGCUAGUUGGUAAGGUAACGGCUUACCAAGGCAACGAUGCGUAGCCGACCUGAGAGGGUGAUCGGCCACACGGGAACUGAGACACGGUCCAGACUCCUACGGGAGGCCGCAGUAGGGAAUCUUACGCAAUGGGCGAAAGCCUGACAGAGCAACGCGGCGUGAGUGAUGAAGGUCUUCGGAUCGUAAAACUCUGUUAUUAGGGAAGAACAAAUGUGUAAGUAACUAUGCACGUAUUGACGGUACCUAAUCAGAAAGCCACGGCUAACUACGUG